rnacentral:tRNA from 1 species
GCCGACUGGCGGCUCGGGUUCGUGGUGCUCGCCGUCGUCGGCGCGGCGGCGAUCGCGACGUCGUUCGCGCUGCCGUUCGGCCCGGCGCGCCCGGCG